UACGGGGGGGACAAGCGUUGUUCGGAAUUACUGGGCGUAAAGGGCUCGUAGGCGGCCAACUAAGUCGGAUGUGAAAGCCCUCGGCUCAACCGAGGAAGGGCAUCCGAAACUGGCGUGCUUGAGUACGGAAGAGGGUCUCGGAAUUCCCGGUGUAGAGGUGAAAUUCGUAGAUAUCGGGAGGAACACCAGUGGCGAAGGCGGAGACCUGGGCCGAUACUGACGCUGAGGUGCGAAAGCGUGGGGAGCAAACAGG
rnacentral:rRNA from 1 species